rnacentral:rRNA from 1 species
UCAAAGGUUAUCCCGGAAUUUAUUGGGUUUAAGGGAGCGUAGGUGCGGAUAUUAAGUCAGCUGUGAAAGUUUGGGGCUCAACCUUAAAAUUGCAGUUGAUACUGGUUUCCUUGAGUACGGUACAGGUGGGCGGAAUUCGUGGUGUAGCGGUGAAAUGCUUAGAUAUCACGAAGAACUCCGAUCGCGAAGGCAGCUCACCGGGCCGGAACUGACACUGAUGCUCGAAAGUGCGGGUAUCAAACAGGAUUAGAUACCCUGGUAGUCCGCACAGUAAACGAUGAAUACUCGCUGUUUGCGAUACACAGUAAGCGGCCAAGCGAAAGCGUUAAGUAUUCCACCUGGGGAGUACGCCGGCAACGGUGAAACUCAAAGGAAUUGACGGGGGCCCGCACAAGCGGAGGAACAUGUGGUUUAAUUCGAUGAUACGCGAGGAACCUUACCCGGGCUUAAAUUGCGCUGGCUUUUACCGGAAACGGUAUUUUCUUCGGACCAGCGUGAAGGUGCUGCAUGGUUGUCGUCAGCUCGUGCCGUGAGGUGUCGGCUUAAGUGCCAUAACGAGCGCAACCCUUAUCUUUAGUUACUAACAGUUUUGCUGAGGACUCUAAAGAGACUGCCGUCGUAAGAUGCGAGGAAGGUGGGGAUGACGUCAAAUCAGCACGGCCCUUACGUCCGGGGCUACACACGUGUUACAAUGGGGAGCACAGCAGGUUGCUACACGGCGACGUGAUGCCAAUCCGUAAAACUCCUCUCAGUUCGGAUCGAAGUCUGCAACCCGACUUCGUGAAGCUGGAUUCGCUAGUAAUCGCGCAUCAGCCACGGGCGCGGUGAAUACGUUCCCGGGCCUUGUACACACCGCCCGUCAAGCCAUGAAAGCCGGGGGUACCUGAAGUACGUAACCGCGAGGAUCGUCCUAGGGUAAACCCCCUG